rnacentral:rRNA from 1 species
GAUGAACGCUAGCGGCAGGCCUAAUACAUGCAAGUCGAACGAGAUUAAGAGGCUUGCUUCUUAUGAAAGUGGCGCACGGGUGCGUAACGCGUAUGCAACCUACCUUAAUCAGGGGGAUAGCCCGAAGAAAUUCGGAUUAAGACCGCAUAAAAACACAGGAUAGCAUUAUCCAAUGUUCAAAUAUUUAUAGGAUUAAGAUGGGCAUGCGUGUCAUUAGCUAGUUGGCGGGUAACGGUCCACCAAGGCGACGAUGACUAGGGGAUCUGAGAGGAUCGACCCCCCACACUGGUACUGAGACACGGACCAGACUCCUACGGGAGGCAGCAGUAAGGAUAUUGGACAAUGGGCGAAAGCCUGAUCCAGCCAUGCCGCGUGUGUGAAGAGGUCUUCGGAUUG